rnacentral:lncRNA from 1 species
AAAGUAUAUUAGUUUUUCAUUUCAAAAGCCAGAAAGUGAUGCUUAUAGAUGAGUGUUUAAUUAUUUUACUAAUAGUAUAUCAUAACAAUUCAUUAAAAAUAAUCCGAUAAGUUUAAUUUUACAACACAACACAACACAACAAAAGUCAAAUAAACUCUAAAUGGUAAUGCACGUAGAAGUUUACUAGUUAGUUAUCAAAGCAUUUAGCGUGGACGUACUUAUAUCCCUCAAAUGAUUUUGGGGCAAUUUCAUAGUAAAUUUAUUAAAUUGGGUUUGCCCCAAGGUAUAGAUUAAAGUUCAAUCUAAAAUAAUGUUGUUUUUUAAAAAGUAAAAAAAAAAUUAAUUUAAAGAUUUUUUAAAAAAAUAAAACUGAAUUUUAACUUAAUAAACCGAGUUAAACCGAGUUAACUUCAAAUCAGGUUAAACAGAAUUAAUUUAAAGAUUUUUCUAAAAUAAUGCAGCGCCCGGAACUCUUCUAAUUUCUCUGUUUCUAAUACGAUAUAUUCCUCAUCUCCUACAUAGUAGAACUUUAUCUUGCAGACCAGGAAUGUUAGAGAAUAAUAUAAAUCAUAUCAUGGGACCUCACCCAAUAGCUUAAGCUAUUGAGUUGAGAUGGUUCUUUGACAUGAUAUUAAAGCCUUGAUGACCAAGCGGUCACGAGUUCGAAUCUCACAAUCCCUAUUUAUUUGAUAAAAAUUAAGCACAAGGUAAUGUGGACCUGUGUAAGUUUCAAGUCUGAAAGGCUUUCACUUGAAGGGGUGUGUUAGAAAAUAAUAUAAAUCAUAUCAUGGGAACUUACCUAAUAGUUUAAGUUAUUGAAUUGAGAUAAUUCUUUAAUUUCACAAGGAAUACAAUUAAACACAAGGCACAAAGAUUUGGAGGAUGACUGACCGUAAGGUUUGAGUGAGCAAGGCGUCUUUGGCAUGAUCAUUCUCUGCUCUUGCUUUGACUAUUUGAAACAUUAGAUCAAGCCUGAGUUGAUUUUCAGAGCUCUGCUUGGAGAUUACGUUAGUUUCCUCUCUCAGUUUGGCAGCCUCUUCGCUUAUUUCUUGAAAUCUUUUCCUGAUUUCCUUCUGUCCCUCGCUGAUCUCAACCAUGUCAGCUCUUAUCCUUUUGACGCCCCUGCUUAAUUUCCUGUCAUUAUUUUCUCGUUUCUGUUUCAAGUAAUCUUUAGAUUGUUAGAAAUUAAAACAAAAAAGAAAAUGAAAAUAACAGUCACAAUUUGAGAUGUACAAUCUAAUUAUAAAACACACAAGUCCAAAAACAAUAAAAUGAAGAAGGGCAUGCACUUCUAAAUUAUAACUGCGGAAGUUUUCUUCGAGUUGCUCCGAGAGAAGUCCUCUCGCCAACUAAUUUUGUAUAAAUGCAGCUCUUCAUGGUCAACCUGCAUAUGCAUGAGAGUUUUGCUACGGUGAUGGUGAUAACUUCGUGAGCCAAGUAUUUAAUGAUCGCAAAAUAAAUAAACCUGUGAAGGAAACGUAGGUCGGUCCGUGGAUAAUCGAAAGCAAGUUGCCCACUCUUUUCCUCUGGGCCCCUCGCUAUAAGUCAGCAUUAAAUAAAGAAGAAGACAAUAGUAUUGUGUCUUAUCUUUGAUCGUGCGAUACCACGCGAAGGAUGCUGCUCGAUCUCAAGCUUUCGCACGAUGAUGGCCUUGUGAAGAGCGAAACCGAACUUUGUUUUGACAUCUGUACUUGUGAUGCAGUUAAGUCUGAAUUAGUUGGGAAUCCAUAUAAUUUAAGGAUUUGGAAAUUGCAAGUCAUCUGUAUUCGUUCUUGUCGGAAGCAUUAAUUGUGAUAUCUCCGCCAGUUAGAUUUGCAAAUAUUAGGAGGUAACCCAUGCAUCCUCUUAAACAUCGAUCACACCUGAGACAGACGAGAGAGAGAAGUUGAAACUCCACCAUGAAAGGUGGUGUCUGGUCAGCGGAGGAACCCGCAUGAAUGGCACAGGCCACUCCUAUUCUCUAGUGCAUUUGUUACACGGACCAACUAAGUUUUAUUUUUAAAUAUCUUUUAUGUAUGUUAAAAUACUUAAUUAUCCUUGAAUGUAUUUAAUAAUUACAAAAAAAAUCCAUAAUAAAAUGAUAAAAAAAUUAAUUUAAAGAUCUUUUAAAAAAAUAAAACUGAAUUUUAACUUAAUAAACCGAGUUAAACCGAGUUAACUUCAAGUCAGGUUAAACAGAAUUAAUUUAAAGAUUUUUCUAAAAUAAUGCAGCGCCCGGAACUCUUCUAAUUUCUCUGUUUCUAAUACGAUAUAUUCCUCAUCUCCUACAUAGUAGAACUUUAUCUUGCAGACCAGGAAUGUUAGAGAAUAAUAUAAAUCAUAUCAUGGGACCUCACCCAAUAGCUUAAGCUAUUGAGUUGAGAUGGUUCUUUGACAUGGUAUUAAAGCCUUGAUGACCAAGCGGUCACGAGUUCGAAUCUCACAAUCCCUAUUUAUUUGAUAAAAAUUAAGCACAAGGUAAUGUGGACCUGUGUAAGUUUCAAGUCUAAAGGGCUUUCACUUGAAGGGGUGUGUUAGAAAAUAAUAUAAAUCAUAUCAUGGGAACUUACCUAAUAGUUUAAGUUAUUGAAUUGAGAUAAUUCUUUAAUUUCACAAGGAAUACAAUUAAACACAAGGCACAAAGAUUUGGAGGAUGACUGACCGUAAG